ACGAACGCUGGCGGCGUGCUUAACACAUGCAAGUCGAACGGAAAGACCCUGCUUUUGUGGGGUGCUCGAGUGGCGAACGGGUGAGUAACACGUGAGUAACCUGCCCUUGACUUUGGGAUAACUUCAGGAAACUGGGGCUAAUACCGGAUAGGAGCUCCUGCUGCAUGGUGGGGGUUGGAAAGUUUCGGCGGUUGGGGAUGGACUCGCGGCUUAUCAGCUUGUUGGUGGGGUAGUGGCUUACCAAGGCUUUGACGGGUAGUCGGCCUGAGAGGGUGACCGGCCACAUUGGGACUGAGAUACGGCCCAGACUCCUACGGGAGGCAGCAGUGGGGAAUAUUGCACAAUGGGCGGAAGCCUGAUGCAGCAACGCCGCGUGCGGGAUGACGGCCUUCGGGUUGUAAACCGCUUUCGCCUGUGACGAAGCGUGAGUGACGGUAAUGGGUAAAGAAGCACCGGCUAACUACGUG
rnacentral:rRNA from 1 species